rnacentral:rRNA from 1 species
CAGUAGCCGCGGGAAUACGAAGGGGGCUAGCGUUGCUCGGAAUGACUGGGCGUAAAGGGCGCGUAGGCGGAUGGCACAGUCAGAUGUGAAAUUCCCGGGCUUAACCUGGGGGCUGCAUUUGAUACGUGUUGUCUAGAGUGAGGAAGAGGGUCGUGGAAUUCCCAGUGUAGAGGUGAAAUUCGUAGAUAUUGGGAAGAACACCGGUGGCGAAGGCGGCGACCUGGUCCUUUACUGACGCUGAGGCGCGAAAGCGUGAGGAGCAAACAGGAUUAGAUACCCCAGUAGUCCCUGUCUCUUAUAC